rnacentral:rRNA from 1 species
UGAGGAAUAUUGGUCAAUGGGCGAGAGCCUGAACCAGCCAAGCCGCGUGAAGGAAGACGGCCCUAUGGGUUGUAAACUUCUUUUGUCGGGGAACAAAAGCCGAUUUGCGAAUUGGUCUGAGUGUACCCGAAAGAAAAAGCAUCGGCUAACUCCGUGCC